CCCAACUGGGUUGGGUAACGGCGUGGAGAGGCUGUGGGGCACAGCCAGGGCUUUAACAGGGCUGGGAAAGCGGAGAACGACUGGGGAGCUACAGCGAUAGCGGAAUGGCGCUGAGGCGGUGUUCGUGCGUCUGGGAACACGGGCCCUGGAGCUGCGGGCACCGGAGGCAUCCGAAGGGAAGUUGCGCUCUGCCAGUGCUGUCUCCAAAGGCUCCGGAAUGGCUCCGGUUAAAAUCAGCUGUGUGCUGUCCUUCUCCCAGGUGCCUGGGGGCUCCCUCUGGGGGGCUGGGUGUGGGGCUGAUCCCUCUGAGCUGUUGGGGUCUUGGAAGAGGUGGGUCAGGCCAUGACAGGGUGCAGUACUACCUCACCUUGUUAAGCAGAAGGGCAAGGAUUCACAUCAUUCUUGCUCUCUCAAAAUGGAAUGUUGUUCCUGUAGGUUACCAGAGAAUUCCAUGCUUCUCCCCAUGUCCAGAACAAGCUAGAGCUGGAGGGGAGGGUGUUUAGGGAGGGGUUGGUUGGUACCUGAUGCUGUGUCCCUGGUGUGUGUGCAGGACCCCAAGUACCCCAAGGCAGAGAACCUGCUGAGUGAGGACAGCGUACAGCCCUGGCUUGGCUGCCCCAAGGGUCACAGCAGGCAGCUGAGAGUGGGGCUGUGACUGGAGAGAGCCAGUCCCAUUGGCUGUGUUGAUGUUGACACCUCCCUGUUCCCCACUCCCGUGCAGGAGCCAGGGCCAUGCCCCACAGUGGGGUCAGCAGCUCUGAGCCCCUUGCCCCUGUCCUUCUCGCUGCUCCCCAGGGAACUACAGCUGUGCCUUUCUGCAGGCUGAGGUGGGAUGCUCCUCGUGGCCCUGUGACCAGCCCUGUCACACCUUGGUGCCCACUGAUGACACCAGCUGACUCAAAGCUGGACCAGAAUCGCUGCAGGGUUCAGAUGUUUUAGGAAGGAGAUCCAGGGAGGAGAACCAAGUGAGGAGCCGCCUGUGGAAGCUGGAUGGGGCUGCCUGGAGCCCAGCCCACCUCAGCCACUCUGCCUGGAUGGAGCUGUUGAGAGCACAGAACCAGAACCAGGCCCUGAGGCCCAGAGCUGGCACGAGCACCGUGGGGCAUCACCUGGAGCUGCUGGCCAAGGAUGUGGGAGGUCCUGCAGUGCCAGGUGAGAGCCCACCUGCAGAGCUGCUCCAGCUCUGGGACCCCCAACAUCAGAAGAGUGUGGAGCAACGGGUAUGAGUCCAGAG